GUAUUUUUCCUACGCACCCCUAGUGCGUUCUAAUGUCAGUUGACGGUCGUCCCUCCGACGAUCGUAUACGAACGAAUCGAAGUAGCCGAAGGGCUCUGAUCAUUAGUAAAUAAACAAGACAGCUUCAGUCUUAUCUGAACUACCAGCCUAACCAGAUCGCUUUUACUUCAUCAGUCUCUUAAUACAAGUUCACUUUUCCUCCGCCGGUCUCGGGAAUUGUAAAGUGUCGACGAGAAAAAGGUAUUUGAACGCGUGAAAUUGGAGUUAGUUUUUUUUUUUUAAUUGGACUCGGACAAGCGCCAGCAACAGAAUUGGAUCAGCGUCACCGGAGCGGUGGAUUUGAUCAGGGUGAACGACAUAUCAGGAUUCUUUACACAGCUAUUGUGGAGUCUUGAAAACCGCCAAAUUGUAAGCAGUAGCAAAAUUCAACGGAAUUGCUUUCGCCGAUACGGAUUUGGAAGCAGUGAGGAAAUCUGCCGGCGGGACUGAUCCGUAGCCGUUUGUGAAUCCGUAAACAGGAAAGGUUUUUCGGUAAUAGGAUAUGCAUUGGAAGCGUGGUCACCAUGGCACACAGGACGCAGAUACGACCAUGUAAGCCGUCUGCAACGUGGCAAAGGCCGAACGUUUGGAUUACGAGAGCGCAGUCAAGUAAGGAAACCUCGAUGGCGCCCCCUGCUGACUACCCGCCAGCCGGCGAUGAACUACCCUCCAGUAACGAUCCGCCUAUUGGCGAAGAAAAUCAGCAGCAGGCUCCGAGGGGACGCAACAAGAGAAGACGCCUGGAAUCAGGUUCCAACCAGAUAGAGCCCCGGAGAUCCAAACGGACGAAGAAAGUUAAUCGCAGUGACGAUUUUUACUAUAACUGAAUUUUGCGAGCUUGAUAAAAAAAGUUUUCGAUCAACCAAAUUUGAAUUCGUGAUUAUGAUAUUAUUGUAAUGAAUUGUUUCACGUUCUGAUAAGUUUAAACUAUGUAAAAGGGGGAGAAUUGAUGUAUUUUUCCUACGCACCCCUAGUGCGUUCUAAUGUCAGUUGACGGUCGUCCCUCCGACGAUCGUAUACGAACGAAUCGAAGUAGCCGAAGGGCUCUGAUCAUUAGUAAAUAAACAAGACAGCUUCAGUCUUAUCUGAACUACCAGCCUAA
rnacentral:lncRNA from 1 species